AUUGAACGCUGGCGGCAGGCCUAACACAUGCAAGUCGAACGAGUGGCGGACGGGUGAGUAAUGUCUGGGAAACUGCCUGAUGGAGGGGGAUAACUACUGGAAACGGUAGCUACUACCGCAUACCAUCAGAUGUGCCCAGAUGGGAUUAGCUUGUUGGUGGGGUAACGGCUCACCAAGGCGACGAUCCCUAGCUGGUCUGAGAGGAUGCCGAGACACACUGGAACUGAGACACGGCCCAUACUCCUACGGGAGGGCGCAGUGGGGAAUAUGGCACAAUGGGCGCAAGCCUGAUGCAGCCAUGCCGCGUGUAUGAAGAAGGCCUUCGGGUUGUAAAGUACUUUCAGCGGGGAUGCGUUACCCGCAGAAGAAGCACCGGAUAACUCCGUGCCAGCAGCCGCGGUAAUAC
rnacentral:rRNA from 1 species